rnacentral:rRNA from 1 species
UACGUAGGUGGCGAGCGUUGUCCGGAUUUAUUGGGCGUAAAGGGCGCGCAGGUGGUGUGGUGGGUCCGUCGUGAAAUCUCCCGGCUCAACUGGGAGGGUGCGGCGGAGACUGCCAGACUAGAGGCACUCAGAGGCCGGUGGAAUUCCCGGUGUAGUGGUGAAAUGCGUAGAGAUCGGGAGGAACACCAGUGGCGAAGGCGGCCGACUGGGGGUGACCUGACGCUGAGGCGCGAAAGCGUGGGGAGCGAACCGG